rnacentral:rRNA from 1 species
UGCCAGACUCCUACGGGAGGCAGCAGUGGGGAAUAUUGCACAAUGGGGGAAACCCUGAUGCAGCGACGCCGCGUGAGCGAUGAAGUAUUUCGGUAUGUAAAGCUCUAUCAGCAGGGAAGAAAAUGACGGUACCUGACUAAGAAGCCCCGGCUAACUACGUGCCAGCAGCCGCGGUAAUACGUAGGGGGCAAGCGUUAUCCGGAUUUACUGGGUGUAAAGGGAGCGUAGACGGCAAUGCAAGCCAGAUGUGAAAGCCCGGGGCUCAACCCCGGGACUGCAUUUGGAACUGUGUAGCUGGAGUGUCGGAGAGGCAGGCGGAAUUCCUAGUGUAGCGGUGAAAUGCGUAGAUAUUAGGAGGAACACCAGUGGCGAAGGCGGCCUGCUGGACGAUGACUGACGUUGAGGCUCGAAAGCGUGGGGAGCAAACAGGAUUAGAUACCCUGGUA